GAUGAACGCUGGCGGCGUGCCUAAUACAUGCAAGUCGAGCGAACGGACGAGAAGCUUGCUUCUCUGAUGUUAGCGGCGGACGGGUGAGUAACACGUGGAUAACCUACCUAUAAGACUGGGAUAACUUCGGGAAACCGGAGCUAAUACCGGAUAAUAUUUUGAACCGCAUGGUUCAAAAGUGAAAGACGGUCUUGCUGUCACUUAUAGAUGGAUCCGCGCUGCAUUAGCUAGUUGGUAAGGUAACGGCUUACCAAGGCAACGAUGCAUAGCCGACCUGAGAGGGUGAUCGGCCACACUGGAACUGAGACACGGUCCAGACUCCUACGGGAGGCAGCAGUAGGGAAUCUUCCGCAAUGGGCGAAAGCCUGACGGAGCAACGCCGCGUGAGUGAUGAAGGUCUUCGGAUCGUAAAACUCUGUUAUUAGGGAAGAACAUAUGUGUAAGUAACUGUGCACAUCUUGACGGUACCUAAUCAGAAAGCCACGGCUAACUACGUGCCAGCAGCCGCGGUAAUACGUAGGUGGCAAGCGUUAUCCGGAAUUAUUGGGCGUAAAGCGCGCGUAGGCGGUUUUUUAAGUCUGAUGUGAAAGCCCACGGCUCAACCGUGGAGGGUCAUUGGAAACUGGAAAACUUGAGUGCAGAAGAGGAAAGUGGAAUUCCAUGUGUAGCGGUGAAAUGCGCAGAGAUAUGGAGGAACACCAGUGGCGAAGGCGACUUUCUGGUCUGUAACUGACGCUGAUGUGCGAAAGCGUGGGGAUCAAACAGGAUUAGAUACCCUGGUAGUCCACGCCGUAAACGAUGAGUGCUAAGUGUUAGGGGGUUUCCGCCCCUUAGUGCUGCAGCUAACGCAUUAAGCACUCCGCCUGGGGAGUACGACCGCAAGGUUGAAACUCAAAGGAAUUGACGGGGACCCGCACAAGCGGUGGAGCAUGUGGUUUAAUUCGAAGCAACGCGAAGAACCUUACCAAAUCUUGACAUCCUUUGACAACUCUAGAGAUAGAGCUUUCCCCUUCGGGGGACAAAGUGACAGGUGGUGCAUGGUUGUCGUCAGCUCGUGUCGUGAGAUGUUGGGUUAAGUCCCGCAACGAGCGCAACCCUUAAGCUUAGUUGCCAUCAUUAAGUUGGGCACUCUAAGUUGACUGCCGGUGACAAACCGGAGGAAGGUGGGGAUGACGUCAAAUCAUCAUGCCCCUUAUGAUUUGGGCUACACACGUGCUACAAUGGACAAUACAAAGGGCAGCGAAACCGCGAGGUCAAGCAAAUCCCAUAAAGUUGUUCUCAGUUCGGAUUGUAGUCUGCAACUCGACUACAUGAAGCUGGAAUCGCUAGUAAUCGUGGAUCAGCAUGCUACGGUGAAUACGUUCCCGGGUCU
rnacentral:rRNA from 1 species